rnacentral:rRNA from 1 species
UACAGAGGGUGCGAGCGUUAAUCGGAAUUACUGGGCGUAAAGCGCGCGUAGGCGGCUUUGCAAGUCGGGUGUGAAAUCCCCAGGCUUAACCUGGGAACUGCAUUCGAGACUGCAUUGCUAGAGUAUGGGAGAGGGAAGUGGAAUUUCCGGUGUAGCGGUGAAAUGCGUAGAUAUCAAGCAGAACACCUGCGGCGAAGGCGGCCUUCUGGACGAUGACUGACGCUGAGACGCGAAAGCGUGGGGAGCAAACAGG